rnacentral:rRNA from 1 species
GACGGAGGAGGCAAGCGGUAUCCGGAAUUAUUGGGCGUAAAGGGUACGUAGGCGGCUGGUCAAGUCUGGGGUCAAAGGCCACAGCUCAACUGCGGGAAGGCCCUGGAAACUGACAGGCUAGAGUGAGGUAGGGGUUGCGGGAAUUCCCGGUGUAGCGGUGAAAUGCGUAGAGAUCGGGAAGAACACCGGAGGCGGAAGCGCGCAACUGGGCCUCAACUGACGCUGAGGUACGAAAGCUAGGGGAGCGAAUGGG